UGUAAUUUGUUGGUAUGACUGUAAAGUUUCGCCUUUAAUCCUCUAUUCAGAUUUCUUUAGGGUGAGAAAGUAUCUGUUCAUGUAUAGUUUGGAUAUUUGUGUGUUAUUUCUUAUCAAAAUAUUGGUAUGAUUUGGCCUUUGAUAUCCUUAUAUCUCUGGCAGAGUAAACUACAAAAGGGCAUAUCCUUCAAGGUUUCUUGCCAGAUUUUAAAAUAUCAACUGAUUUGUUGGUAUACAAUUGUUUUGCAUAAUGUUGGGCUUAUUCCUUUUCAGAUGUCUGUAUAUCUAGAGAAUGUUUCUAUAUUAUCCUUAUCUAGAUUACACAUUUCUCUAAUUGUUGGCAGUGUCAUGCGGUAUAUUAAGUAUUGUUAGACAUACCUAGUAUUAUGAUCUUGGUUUCUUAACUUCUCUUUAGAUGUGUGUACUUCCAAUUUUUUUAGGAUAUAACUUUUUUUGAGGGAGUCCAGGAGUUGACAAUUCCUUGUGUAGGAUAAGGUUGCUAAUUUAGAGAAAAGGCAAUCAGGGGAAGAGAAAGGGGGAGGAGGGGUGGCUGCUUUUUUUUUUUUCUUUCUUUCUUUUUCGGAUUGGCAAAGUGGAUUUUAUCAGUAGAAAUGCAUCCACAAGUCCAAACAAAUGGCUGGAAUGAUCAGUCCAGAAACUUGUGAAAAGUAAAAUUCUUCUUAUCUUUGAGAUUGGGUAGUGUGUGUCCUAAAAUGCACUCCUUUUUCAUCUCUAGCCAUAAAGCCACACAAGUGCUACAGAGCAGGUUAUCUGCAUCCCCAAUCCUCAUGGUAUUUGCAUCUAAGCAGUCCAUGAGAGCCUUACUUUUACACCAGCAGAUUUCCAGCUGCAAUUCUCUCUGGCAUCAGAGAAGCAGAUAAUUUUUCUCCCCAGCCCUUUUUCCUUCUCAGAUUUUCACCCUUGAAAAUAGCUUCUUAAGUUGUGUAUCUCAAAAUGGUGAUGCUUCUGGGGGCUUGUGACUCUGAAUUCCCUUCCUAUUGGAAACUGAAAACCAUAGUUUCUGAUCCUGUUUAGCAAUCCUUAAUUUGAAAGCAUCGUCACGUGUUGUUUGCUCACUUUCAUUUGUCACUACCUGUCCAGCAUACCUGGUACUGGUAAAGCCUGGAUACUACAGUUUGAUAAAGACUUGCAAUGCUAUGCUGGAGUCUUUCAAAUAUUUGUUUGAAUCUCUGUUACAUGGACUCUUCAUCCAACCCAGAAGUACCUAUGUCUGUAGGAUAUGACAAGGGUGCUGGUAACGGAUAUGUCUUGGAUGUGGUGAAACAUCAACUAGGUACUUUGGCUUAAGAUGGGACUCCUGGGCUUUAGUAGUCCCUGCUGAAAAUUACCUGACAAUAUUAUACUCUUUUCUGUUGGUAUCGAUUAUUAGCACAAGCACAUUUUUUGUUUAGCUUUUAGGUCAGUGAAAUAUCUAAGUCAGUGGUACGAAGUUUGUUUAUAAAAUGCAAACUUAAUGUUCCUCAUUAUGAGUUUAAAAGUAUUGUUACCAAAUUGAUUCUGCCAUAUCCAAGUACCUAUGUCUACUUUUUUUAGCUGUCCUGUAUCUUGUAAUUUAUGAAAGCUGAAAUCUCCCAUAGCGUAUCCUUACGCCCAAGUCAAUGAAACACAGAUUUGAGCAACUGAGGCCCUCUUGUUAACAGAGGUUUGGUAAAGGUUUGGAAAUAUAAUUUGACAGCCUCUGUGCAGACCAUCUAUCCUCCCAGAUUUUUGCUCAAGUGCCAUUUCUGCUUUGAAAUAAUGUCUUACCUGUGUUCCAUCUAUUCGUAGUUGCUUCCAAGAUUGCCGCACCAUAAGGUCUAGAGAUCUUACACGUUUUCCAAUUUCUGAUAUGGUUGCCAUAUUUUUUAGCAAUCAGCUUACUCUCUGUUUAUCUUAUAUCUAUAAAGUAUAUGACAAACUCUGUUUUCUUUGGAGAGAUUUUUUGUAGAUGAAAAUCUUUACUGAUCCAGUAUUCUUCUCUCAGAAUUUGGAGUUGUUAUGAAUUUCCAGUCUACCAAAUGGCACUUUUUUUCCUUUUGCACCUUUUACUGAAAUUCAUUUGCUGUCUCUCCAGCCUUAACAAAAUCUGUUUUCCCUGUAGAGCAUUGUCAUAUAUGAGAAUCCCCUAGCAAAUAAUCUCUUCUUGCAUUUGGAGUCCCUACAGUUUUCCGGUCUACCAAAUGGGUGCUUUUGCAAUUACUUAUUUCCCUACCUCAGAGAGGUACUGCCUCUUCCAUCCUGGUUGUCUCCUUUUGAGCCUUUGGUGACUGGAUUCAACACUUCACUUGGGUGCCAGGUGGACAAGAAAGAAAAUUAUGUAUGAAUUUUUUGAUUACUUCGUAUGAAUUACUUGUAUUGGCAGUGAUACAAUCUGUUUAUGUCAUUUGUCCAUAUUUAUACUUCCUAGAAUUUUUUAAUCUUUUUCUGGUAAAAAGAAUCUGUCAGGUAAUGCCUGUGCUUGAGAAAUCUCUGAGCAAGUACACUUGAGUUCCAAUCACCAUCUUGACAUGAAGCUUUUUGAACCUGUGUGCCUUUUCCAUACCUGGUUAAGUUUCUAUUGGAAUUUUACUUGAUGAUAGCUAUGUGUCACAAUUUGUUAGACAAAUGCUUGUCAGUUGUUUACUUGAAAGUCACGAGCAGAAAUGCUUAUGUCAUUCCUUAGAGCGACCAUUUGAACAUUUUCAAUCCUUUUGAGAGUUAUCAGUUCAACCAGAAAAUUACAAAGUCAACUCAAAUUGACAAUUUUUACCAACUAAUGCAGUUUGGGGAAACCUUUUCCUUUGUCAUACCAUAGGUAGCUAUUAUUUGUACAUUUACUCAGAAUUACUAUCGGUAAUCUUUUCACCAAUGCUACCUUUUUUGCUUGGUUGGGAUGGAAUAAGGGGUAUUUGACAUGACAACUUGGAUGUCAGUAUGGCUUUGCAGACACCAAGUUGUUCCCUUGGAGCUUUGCAACUUGCACCUUUUUUUUUUUUUCCAAUAUUGGUGAACUUUGGAAGAAUGAGCUUCUUUUCAUACUCCAAAUAGAGAUAGAAAGUGGUACACAGUAGCUGAUUUUGUUCUUAUUUAGAACUUCUCAUAAUGCUUUUCGGUUAACAUCCUGGAUAAGGUUGACUGGAAUAAACCUAUGAAGAAGACAUAACAGGGUGAAAAAUCUGCUUGAAUAACUGCUUAUUGGUAUUUGUUCGUUGAUCAGAUUUCAUAGAAUUAAGCAUGAUGCAACGUGGUUCUCCAAUUAUGAGGUUUCUUUCUUGUUGGUAGUUUGGAGCAUUAUCAACGUACGUUAACUCCUUAGUCACAUAACAGUAAUGCUGCCCUUGAAAAUAUAAUCAAAGGAGGAAGUAUUGUCUUCUGGAAAGAGCAUUUUUGUACAGCUCUGGCUCUUAACCAUCCUUUGAUAGUCUAUUGAUCCUAUAAAUGAAGUUAUACUCAUUUUUGUUUCUGAAGUGGUCGAAUUACAUAGAUAGUUGAAUAUAUUGGUCUUAAUCAAAUGGACAAACAACGAAUUAGGUAGUUUUUGCAGAAAUCCAGCACUCUUAUCCUUUUUUUCUUUCGGUUAGUUUCUAAAGGCUUUUGUUCUUGAUGCUUGUAUUUUCAGGAUGUUGCUAUGAGAUCUAUGUCAGAGCAGUGAUGCGAGAGGAAGCACGAAAACAGGCAAAAGAGAGUGCAUAAUGGCUCAGUUCUGUAUCACUGAUCUUUUGAGAUUUCUGGUUAAAGAUAUUGCUCCAGUACUUUGAGAUUUUGGUUGGAAGAUACUUGUUGCAUGAGCCACAGGGUUUGAUGAUGAAAAUAAUUGCUUCUACAAGAUCCAAGUCACCCCUUAAAUCCCAAUUGUCAAUUAAAAUAGAGUGCAUUGUGCAGUGAUACUUCGAGAUGCAAGUGGGCUGUAGUAAGCUACGUUGUUGUUCUUUGGUUUGUGGCUUGACUGCACUGUGCUUUUUUCCUUUUAUUUUUUUUAUUAAGUGGAAUAGACAUUUGACAUCAUUCUAUUUACCAUAACAAGAGUACAGUAAAAUCGGUUCUUGCUGUAGUUUGAAAA